GACGUAGGGCGCGAGCGUUGUCCGGAGUUUAUUGGGACGUAAAGAGCUCGUAGGCGGCUCGUUGCGUCGGCUGUGAAAACCCGCAGCUCAACUGUGGGCUUGCAGCUGAUACGGGCGGGCUGGGAUUCGGUAGGGGAGACUGGAAUUCCUGGUGUAGCGGUGGAAAUGACGCAGAUAUCAGGAGGAACACCCGUGGCUAAGGCGGCUCUCUAGUACGGUACUGACGCUGAGACGCGAAAGCGUGGGGAGCGAACAGG
rnacentral:rRNA from 1 species